rnacentral:rRNA from 1 species
UACGGGGGGGGCAAGCGUUGUUCGGAAUUACUGGGCGUAAAGGGCGCGUAGGCGGCCUUCUAAGUCGAACGUGAAAUCCCUGGGCUCAACCCAGGAACUGCGUCCGAUACUGGAAGGCUUGAAUCCGGGAGAGGGAUGCGGAAUUCCAGGUGUAGCGGUGAAAUGCGUAGAUAUCUGGAGGAAUACCGGUGGCGAAGGCGGCAUCCUGGACCGACAUUGACGCUGAUGAGCGAAAGCUAGGGGGAGCAAACGGGG